rnacentral:rRNA from 1 species
GACGAACGCUGGCGGCGUGCUUAACACAUGCAAGUCGAACGGAAAGGCCCUGCUUUUGUGGGGUGCUCGAGUGGCGAACGGGUGAGUAACACGUGAGUAACCUGCCCUUGACUUUGGGAUAACUUCAGGAAACUGGGGCUAAUACCGGAUAGGAGCUCCUGCUGCAUGGUGGGGGUCGGAAAGUUUCGGCGGUUGGGGAUGGACGCGCGGCUUAUCAGCUUGUUGGUGGGGUAGUGCCUUACCAAGGCUUUGACGGGUAGCCGGCAUGAGAGGGUGACCGGCCACAUUGCGCCUGGGGGACGGCCCAGUGUGCAAGGGAGCGCAGCAGUGGGGAAUAUUGCAGAGUGGGCGGACGCCUGAUGCAGCAACGCCGCGUGCGGGAUGACCUCCUUUGGGUGGUAAACCGCUUUCGCCUGUAACGAAGCGUGAGUGACGGUAAUGGGUAAAAAAGCCCCGGCUAACUACGUG